GACGAACGCUGGCGGCGUGCUUAAUACAUGCAAGUCGAACGAAGUGGCGAACGGGUGAGUAACGCGUAAACAACCUGCCCUUCAGAGGGGGACAACAGUGGGAAACGACCGAUUAUACCGCAUACUGAGGGAGGGGAUGGCGUGUGAUUAGGUAGUUGGAGGGGUAACGGCCCACCAAGGCGAUGAUCAGUAGCCGGCCUGAGAGGAGGAACGGCCACAUUGGGACUGAGACACGGCCCAGACUCCUACGGGAGGCAGCAGUGGGGAAUCUUCCGCAAUGGACGGAAGUCUGACGGAGCAACGCCGCGUGAGUGAUGACGGCCUUCGGGUUGUAAAGCUCUGUUGAUCGGGACGCGGUACCGGAAUAGAAAGUCACGGCUAACUACGUGCCAGCAGCCGCGGUAAUUC
rnacentral:rRNA from 1 species